rnacentral:lncRNA from 1 species
UCUAUUGUCCUAUAUUUUAUAUAAAAAAUAUACUCCACGUUAACAAUAUCACACGUUGUACUGGUUAACUGUGGCAUAUUUUACUCAAUUUAAUAUAAAUAAAAUAUCUAACAAACAGAAAAAUGAAGACUAGGGAGAAAUUAUAAAGAAAAAUGGCCAUAGUUCUGCUGCAUUAGUGUUAAGUUAUCAUAACUUACCUAGCCCUUCAAAUAACAUGUGCAUGGUCAUGACAAUCUCAGAGGAUCAAGUCUCUUUCUAUGACCAUCAGCAUUCUUAAUCAAGGCUAAUCCUCAUGGCAAAGGUAAACUGAGUGAAUACAGUACCCCUGGUAUCACUUGGUCAAUCUGCAAAGUCUAAACUGUGCCUUCAAAGGUCAAGAUCAAGGGGACAGUUGCAAUGUUGCUGCAUAUCUUGUUUCAGUAGACCUAACUCCUAUUAUCCUACUUGACAUGUGAAGUGAUGAGCAGCAUGGCUAACGUAAUCAGCCAUUUUAGCCUAACAGUUGACUUUAGGGCACUGAUAGUGGCCUACAUCAUUCUCUUAGCUUGGCUACUUGCUUGAGGGUGGGGGAGAGUGACAGUGAUGGGUAAAAUGAAUUCUAGUUUCACAAAUUUCUUAAAACACAUCUGAAAUAAGUGGAGACCCCUUGUCAGGAAUAAUCACAUCUGGAAAUCUAGACGUGGAAAAUCACUGGUCACAGGCAUUAUCGUUCAAGCAAGGGCAAUACUGUAAGCUAUGUUUAGAGAACAUUACCAAAAGAAGAAAGAUUCUAUUCAUUGCUGAAGAAGGAGAUAUUUUUAACAGAAUCUUUGGGACAGUUUCACAUCAGGAAGAAAGAUGCUUUUGGUAAAGUUUAUGAACAAAUUUGACAGCACGUACAGUUUCCUCAAUAGCACAAAUGAUUGCAACCAACAAAUAAUUCCUCGGGCAUGUAUCUCAUUAAAUAAUUUCUAAGUUAACAUGUGUUUUAUUGCAAAUAUGAUUAUCAUAUGAUAUUUAUAUUCUGUCUGCUAGAAAUACCCAAUAAUAAAUAUACAAGUUUGAAUGAAUUGAAAUUAGAAUCUAGCUAUAUAUAGAAGCAUAUACAGAAUUUAAACUGUGAAAGUGAGUUAGCCUAUUAAGUUAAAUUACGUAACAAAAGACGCAAAAGUCUUUUACUGAGCAUGUGCCAUAGUCUCUUCUUUCUUCUAAUCAAGAUCGUUUUCCUUUGUUUCAUGAGGGGAAAAAAAAAAAACAAAAACUCAAACAAGGUCAUGAACCCGGCCUAUCCAGAUCUCAAAACCUAUGGUUUUAUUAUCAGAGUGGAUUUCCUUCUAUUUACAGUGUCUGAUGGGAUUGAGGAAGGCAAAUCUGUAAGAAAGCAAUCAUUUGCUUGCAUUCUCCAUUCAUCCCUCCAUUUCCUCCCAUGUCAAGGGCAUCCAUACUCAGUGGUCUCUGUUUGGGGCUGUCGUCAAGUAGAAUUAAAUCUAACUUUCAAAUCCCCUUGUGUAAUGUUAGCCCUCUAAUUGGGCCCCCUAUGCUGAGCCAGCAGUAUUCAGUGUAGGUUUUAGGUAGACAUUAGUAGGAUAAAAUGGAGCUGCUUAUCAUUUUAUGUUCAAAGCAUUUAGGGAGGUAAGUUUUACAUAUGCUGUGAAGAGACUAAUGCGACCCAUCAAAUCAAUUCAUAAAACUCCCAUUUUGAAGGGGAAAUUAAAAGUCAAGGUGACAGAGAGGAUCAACAUAACUCAUGUAGUUGUUGAUGAACAGCAUACAAGGUCUAACUUGGAAAGCUGACAAGGAAGCCACUCACUAGGGCCAUUGUUCAGGAGCAGUGGCAACAGCUGAAGUGAUUCACACAGCACAGGGAGACGCUGGACUCCUCUGUGGUCAUGAGCAGACUGGGUUUUGGCAGACCUCUUCUCGAGCCUUUUGUCUCCCUCUCCUUUCCUGUUUGAAAAACAUCAGCCUCCGCACAUAAACCAUUUUCUCCAAGUAUGACUUCCCUGGAUGUCUGUACUAGCCAGGGAUCAGUCCCAAGGUGAUCAUGGAUAGUUCUGUAGACAGGCAUGUUUCUUGUAGAUUUCAAUUUACGUAGUCUAUAUGGUUUAAAAUAGCUGAACACAAACUAAGUCUACUCAAUUUGGUGCUAAUGUCUUGGUUGAGAGGGCUCGGUGUAUCACGGUGUCAUCCUAGCUGCUCUGAAGCUCUGGAGCCAAAUGGCCUUCCUGGUUUAUCCUUCCAAGUAGCUGGAAUAUCAGGCACACACUAGCAUGUGUAGCUAACAUGGUCUUAGCAAUGUGUGUUUUCAAAGACUGUGUCUGGAUGUAUGGAAUUAAAGGAAAACUUAAUUUCUCUUUUGGAAAACACAUUUUUUUUUAAAUUCCUGGGGCUUGCUCCUCCCACACCUGUAUCUUGCUACCAUGUGUUUUCUGGCUUCCCUAUGACAGGGAAUUUUUGUUAUAUUUACUGAUGGUGGAUAGUUUUGGUUGUUUUGAAACUUUCAUUUUUGGAAGUUAUAAUUCAAUUGCAUGAUUCUCCCCACUUCCUCUCACCAACCUCUCCUAUAGAAUAAAUCCUUCUUGCUCUCUCUUUCAAAUUAAUGGCUUCUUUUCCUUUGAUAGUUGUUAUAUAUAUAUAUAUAUAUAUAUAUAUAUAUAUAUAUAUACACACAUAGUUUAUAUAUUCUUAUAAAAUAUAAGUACACCCUUCUCAAUCUGUCUAACAUUACCUAUCAUGUGCAUAGGAUCUCAAGGCUGACCACAUAGCAUUGGAUAAUCAGUGAAGGAACAUUUCCCUGGGAGGACUGUUUCUGGGAGGACCAUUUCUCCUAAUCAUAUCGUUCUCAGUUCUUUAUCUACUAUCGAGACCCUUAGUUGCCCUUUUCAAAUUAGGAUUUCCAUAGGUGUCAUGGUUGUUCAGGUCUUGUUUUAGACAACCAUGUUGAUUAGACUUUGUGGGUAUAGCCUGUCUGACAUUUCUAAAAGACACAGUCUUACGACAAACAUUUUUUUGAGCACUGUAAUAUGAAAUGAAGAAGUAUACUUUCUUUUAUUUUUUGUCUUUUAUUUAUUUAUUUUUUACACUCCAGAUUUUAUCUCCCUCCCCCCACUGCCACCAUCCACCCUCCAACUGUUCCACAUCUCAUUCCUCCUCCCCACUCCUUGUCUCCAUGAGGAUAUCAUCCUCGUGGCAAAGUAUACUUUCUUGAAAACCUAAAAAUUAAAAAAAAGGGGGGGGGGGGAAUCAAUGCUAUAAAUGUUUUUUUACAGAGCCAUUGCUUCUGGGUGCUCAGCCAGGUGGAUUUUAUUUCACCACUUCACAGCU